rnacentral:lncRNA from 1 species
CUUGCUCUGUCAUUAACGUGCUCAGGUCAAGUUUGUUCCAUCUCGUUCAACCCACACGUGAAAUUGAAACCACAUAUAGCAACCAGUUACAGCUCAUUGAUGUGCAAAAUAAUCUUAUUGAAUCAUUUCCUCAAAGACCAGGGUAUCCCUUUCAGAUAAUGUAUGCUCUAUUCCAUGAUUCUUCAAGCCAUAAACCUCCA